AACUUCUGGAAGCCUUUGCAGCCCUGAAAGGGGUCCCGCGACAGUAAAUAAGGGGGAGCAAGUAGCGUUAAACGCUGCAACACGAUCGAAUUGCGGGGACGUCCUGAAGCUUAUAGGUACUAACCCGCCGUAGGGAUACGGUGGGGGCCUGUGUUAAUCGCACAGGGGACAGUAACAACCCUAUAAGAUUGGAUAAUCCGCAGCGGAGCCCCUAGAACAGGGGAACGUUCACAGACUAGGUGGUUGUGGGUAGCCCGAGAGGUCUACCUCAGAUAUAGUCGGUCCGGUGAGAAAUCACAUGGGGUAUUCGCUGAAUACGUAAACGCUCCGUAGGUGAACCUGCGGAGGGAUCAUUACAGAGAACAUCGCCCGCAAGGGUGACUCUCCAACCCUGUGUUAACUAUACCUUUGUUGCUUUGGCGAGACGCUUCGGCCACCGGCUUCACGCUGGUGAGUGCUCGCCAGAGGACCCCUAAACUCUGUUUAUACAUGUCGUCUGAGUACUAUAUAAUAGUUAAAACUUUCAACAACGGAUCUCUUGGUUCUGGCAUCGAUGAAGAACGCAGCGAAAUGCGAUAAGUAAUGUGAAUUGCAGAAUUCAGUGAAUCAUCGAAUCUUUGAACGCACAUUGCGCCCUGUGGUAUUCCGCAGGGCAUGCCUGUUCGAGCGUCAGUACAACACUCAAGCCUAGCUUGGUCUUGGGCCUCGCCGGAAACGGCGGGCCUUAAAAGUAGUGGCGGUGCCUGUUGGGCCCUAAGCGUAGUAAUACUCCUCGCUACAGGGUCUCGGCGGACGCUGGCCAGCAACC
rnacentral:rRNA from 1 species